rnacentral:rRNA from 1 species
CAAGCGGUGGAGCAUGUGGUUUAAUUCGAUGCAACGCGAAGAACCUUACCUGGCCUUGACAUCCACGGAAUUUGGCAGAGAUGCCUUAGUGCCUUCGGGAACCGUGAGACAGGUGCUGCAUGGCUGUCGUCAGCUCGUGUUGUGAAAUGUUGGGUUAAGUCCCGCAACGAGCGCAACCCUUAUCCUUUGUUGCCAGCACGUAAUGGUGGGAACUCAAAGGAGACUGCCGGUGAUAAACCGGAGGAAGGUGGGGAUGACGUCAAGUCAUCAUGGCCCUUACGGCCAGGGCUACACACGUGCUACAAUGGCGCAUACAAAGAGAAGCGACCUCGCGAGAGCAAGCGGACCUCAUAAAGUGCGUCGUAGUCCGGAUCGGAGUCUGCAACUCGACUCCGUGAAGUCGGAAUCGCUAGUAAUCGUAGAUCAGAAUGCUACGGUGAAUACGUUCCCGGGGCCUUGUACACACC